AGUGAACGCUGGCGGUAGGCCUAACACAUGCAAGUCGAACGGCAGCACAGUAAGAGCUUGCUCUUACGGGUGGCGAGUGGCGGACGGGUGAGGAAUACAUCGGAAUCUACUUUUUCGUGGGGGAUAACGUAGGGAAACUUACGCUAAUACCGCAUACGACCUACGGGUGAAAGCAGGGGAUCUUCGGACCUUGCGCGAUUGAAUGAGCCGAUGUCGGUUUAGCUAGUUGGCGGGGUAAAGGCCCACCAAGGCGACGAUCCGUAGCUGGUCUGAGAGGAUGAUCCGCCACACUGGAACUGAGACACGGUCCAGACUCCUACGGGAGGCAGCAGUGGGGAAUAUUGGACAAUGGGCGCAAGCCUGAUCCAGCCAUACCGCGUGGGUGAAGAAGGCCUUCGGGUUGUAAAGCCCUUUUGUUGGGAAAGAAAAGCAGCAGGUUAAUACCCCGCUGUUCUGACGGUACCCAAAGAAUAAGCACCGGCUAACUUCGUG
rnacentral:rRNA from 1 species